GGGAAACUAUUUAUUUAUCUCUUUCUCUUAAGUAGUUGUCUGAAAUAACCAGUGGAAUAAUCUUUGAUUUGUGAUGUCAUAGAAGAUCAUUUCCUGUUGUGCUGAUUUUCAUCUUGAAUUUUCUUUAUUGCAGUGACCGGGAGGAGUUUUGCUGAGAGGGACUUUAGAAAUGGACUCGACAACGGCUUCUUACUAUGCGAGAACUCGAACUGCGUCCUCUAGGGGUCGCUAUGGGGAACGCCAUCUCUGUGACCCAUGUCUGAAGCUUAUAUACAACAAUGACAACAGUGUUGGCCGGCGACAGCCUAUGACGUCACUUCCAGCGUGACUCGUCACUGCUGG